rnacentral:rRNA from 1 species
UACGAGGGGGCGAGCGUUGUUCGGAAUUAUUGGGCGUAAAGGGUGCGUAGGCGGUUCCGCAAGUCCUGUGUGAAAUCUUCGGGCUCAACUCGAAGUCUGCACGGGAAACUGCGGGGCUUGAGUGUGGGAGAGGUGAGUGGAAUUCCCGGUGUAGCGGUGAAAUGCGUAGAUAUCGAGAGGAACACCAGUGGCGAAGGCGAGUCCCUGGACAGGUCCUGACGCUGAGGCACGAAAGCUAGGGGAGCAAACAGG